rfam:Aedes albopictus isolate Foshan contig107611, whole genome shotgun sequence.
UGUUCUGUGGCAAAGUUGGUUAACGCGCCCUGUUUAACGAACUUGGGGGAGACGUGGGUUCAAAUCCAACCAGAACUA